AGUCGCAUGCGCCGAUGUCUAGGUAAAAGUUCUAUGUUGCUGUUGCUGUGGCUUUUGCUGUUGUUGGUGUUGUUGUUGUUGAUGUUGUUGUUUUGCUUUUUAGACACAAUUUCCGGGUCAUUGACUUGAAGCAUUUCUUCAUUGAAUUGCGUAUGUGACUGCAACUGUGUGGGUUAGUCCCGCGUUCUCAGUGUGAGUGUAUAUAUGUGCAGCAACACGAUCAAUAAACGAGACAAGCAGCAACAACAACACCAGCAAGCACUACACCAAUAACAACAACGACAACAACAGUAAAGAACACCAACAACAUUGACAACCACACCAACAACAAUCACAACAAACACUACACCAACAAUAGCAACAACACCAAUAUCAACAACAACAGAAACAACAACAGAAACAACAACAACAUACACGCACAACGACGACGGCGAGUUAGAAGAAAUACGAUAAAAAAAACAGAGACGAAGCAAGCGAAGAACUUUUAUAUUACCAAAGAGUGCUUUCAGAAAGUGCACUG
ensembl:ncRNA lncRNA:CR45737 long non-coding RNA:CR45737